ACUCCUACGGGAGGCAGCAGUGAGGAAUAUUGGACAAUGGGGGCAACCCUGAUCCAGCCAUGCCGCGUGCAGGAAGACUGCCCUAUGGGUUGUAAACUGCUUUUGUACAGGAAGAAACAUUCCCUCGUGAGGGAGCUUGACGGUACUGUAAGAAUAAGGAUCGGCUAACUCCGUGCCAGCAGCCGCGGUAAUACGGAGGGUCCGAGCGUUAUCCGGAAUUAUUGGGUUUAAAGGGUCCGUAGGCGGGCCGGUAAGUCAGGGGUGAAAGUCUGUAGCUCAACUAUAGAACUGCCUUUGAUACUGCCGGUCUUGAGUCACGGUGAAGUUGCCGGAAUAUGUGGUGUAGCGGUGAAAUGCAUAGAUAUCACAUAGAACACCGAUUGCGAAGGCAGGUGACUAACCGUGUACUGACGCUGAUGGACGAAAGCGUGGGGAGCGAACAGGAUUAGAUACCCUGGUAGGAUAGCG
rnacentral:rRNA from 1 species